rnacentral:rRNA from 1 species
UAGUGAUUAGUUUGAUCCUGGCUCAGGACGAACGCUGGCGGCGUGCCUAAUACAUGCAAGUCGAGCGGACCGAAUAGAAGCUUGCUUCUGUUUGGUUAGCGGCGGACGGGUGAGUAACACGUGGGCAACCUGCCCGUAAGACGGGGAUAACUUCGGGAAACCGGAGCUAAUACCCGAUAACCCUGAAGACCGCAUGGUCUUUAGUUGAAAGGCGGCUUCGGCUGUCACUUACGGAUGGGCCCGCGGCGUAUUAGCUAGUUGGUGAGGUAACGGCUCACCAAGGCGACGAUGCGUAGCCGGACCUGAGAGGGUGAUCGGCCACACUGGGACUGAGACACGGCCCAGACUCUUACGGGAGGCAGCAGUAGGGAAUCUUCCGCAAUGGACGAAAGUCUGACGGAGCAACGCCGCGUGAGCGAAGAAGGUCUUCGGAUUGUAAAGCUCUGUUGUUAGGGAAGAACAAGUGCG